UUUCUCUUUCUUCAUCCACAAACUUUUUUCUUCUUUCUCUCUCUUCCUCCGUUCUUCUUCUUUGUACCACCUUCUUCUUCUUCUUACAAAUUUGAAAGAAAAAUAUCUUUUGACACUCUUUCCCUCUCUCUCUCGUCCUUUCCUUCACUUUCUCUCUUCUUCCUCCUUCUCCCUCUUCUUCUUCCUUCUUCCUUCUUCCUACAUAUGCAAUUUGUAUUCUUUCCUGACACGGUUUGUUCUGUUGAGCGCUGAGGACGAUGAUGAACACAAUGAUGGUGAUGUUGAUGUUGUUGGGUUCGUGAUGAACGAUGUUGAAAGAUUUUAGAUGAAUGAGUUGAGUUGGUUGAAGAUCUAUGAAGAUGAUGACAAAAGCUACGAAUCUGAAUCUCGGGUGAGAUCCGACCCUUCCACGGGAUUAGGGUUUCAGGAGAUCUCGGUCGCAAGUUCUUUUCCAAUAUGUUUUGUUUUCUGCAGGAACUUUUUGUGGUGGUUAUGCAGAUUGGUUAGCAGAAUUUUGUGGGAAGUGGCGGUUUGAGUCGGUGAUGCAGCCUGUUUCUUCGGGAACCAGUUUGUUAUUCGUUUCGGUUGAGCUUUAUGCAGGGCUGCAGUUCUGAUAUGGUUUAACUUUUUUUCUUAAUCUCUUGACGUUAAAAACAUUUUGUUGUACAUACACGGCAACUUCAUAUCCAUCUUAAAGUGUCGGUUUUUCUGAAUGUUUAAAUCUCAUCAGGUAUGCAUUUAACUUUAAGGUUUUUGUGUAACAUUGAAAUGUUAAUUUACUCAUUUUCUUUAUAUUUUUCAUAUUUGAUGCUUGUGUGAUCUUAUAUUCUUCAAGUAUUUUUCUUUCUGCAAUGUUAAAUCUGUUCUUGUAUUUCCAGUCCAAAGAUGCAGUAAGUAAAAUUAUCAAAGUAUUACUUAUGAAUCAUGCUUCAACUUUUGUACACACUUACACUAACCAGGUACCUGUAUAAUUGGUGGAUUUAAAAUUGGUUUCAGUCUUUGAUUGAAUUAAUUCUUUACCAUCAUAUAUUAUUUUGAUGGUACACUUUUUGUGGAAUGAGAAGCUUACCCUAAAAAUGUUGUUUCCAUCAUAUUGAAACAAGCUGUGAGGAAUAAAGACAUGUGUGCAUGAUUAGUGUAAAAUGUUGACUAUAGCUACUUUAAAGUAGCUAUAUUUAUUGAA